UACGAGGGGGGCGAGCGUUGUUCGGAAUUAUUGGGCGUAAAGGGUGCGUAGGCGGUUUGGUAAGUCUUGUGUGAAAUCUACAGGCUCAACUUGUAGUCUGCACGAGAAACUGCCGGGCUUGAGUGUGGGAGAGGUGAGUGGAAUUCCUGGUGUAGCGGUGAAAUGCGUAGAUAUCAGGAGGAACACCUGUGGCGAAAGCGGCUCACUGGGCCAUAACUGACGCUGAUGCACGAAAGCUAGGGGAGCAAACAGG
rnacentral:rRNA from 1 species